ensembl:lncRNA
UAUCUGGGUUAGAGGCCCGGGGAGUUUUGGAACUCCCCAAAUUCUGUAUCUGGGUUAGAGGCCCGGGGAGUUUUGGAACUCCCCAAAUUCUGUAACUGGGUUAGAGGCCCGGGGGGUUUUGAAACUCCCCAAAUUCUGUAUCUGGGUUAGAGGCCCGGGGAGUUUUGGAACUCCCCAAAUUCUGUAUCUGGGUUAGAGGCCCGGGGAGUUUUGGAACUCCCCAAAUUCUGUGUAAGAAAACUGGGUUUGAGUCCCAAAAGUGUUGGGUCAGGGACCCGUUCAGCUGGGUUAAAGGCCCGGGGAGUUUUGGAACUCCCCAAAUUCUUUAUAAGAAAACUGGGUUUGAGUCCCAAAAGUGUUGGGUCAGGGACCCGUUAAUCAUUUGUUAAUUAUUCUGAGUCUGGGACUCACAGUAACAUAAGUCAGGUUGAAAUGGACGGGGAGUUUGAGAGAGAACUGUUGAGAGAAGUGUUGAAUUGUUUGUUGUCAUGGAGAAGUCAGGAGAAGAGAAAAUUGUGUUUUAAGAAAAUUAUUGAGUUGUUUGUGAAUGGGAUGAAGGUCAAUGUUUGAGAUGUUGUGUGUGGACACACCAUGGAUACCGCUCCAACGAGGUUGGAGGUCUGAACGGGUGGGGUUGUAAGAAGACCUGUAUGGUAACGUCCUGUGGACCUGGAAGCAGGUGGGGACCAGUAGACUGUGUGUGUGAAUGUGUAUGCGAAAGAGAAAGUGUGUGAGGGAAGAGAAUUCCAGUCUGUUUGUAAGGAAGUGUGUGAAAGGAGACUCAUUGGGAGUGAUGCACAUAGUGGAUAAAUUGACAGUAGAUGAUAGUGAUAUUUGCUCGAGUUCUAGAAAAGGGACGUCUGGAUAGAUUGGAAGAAGGGUUAAUGAAGAAAAUAGCCAGAUAGACAAAGAUUUAGUGGGAGAGGUGCCACGAGAAAGUAUUCAACAGUGGACAAAGGUUUUGGUCAAGUUUUGGGUAAUUAUUUGUGUAAACAUAGUUUUCUUUAAAGUGGUUUAAUUCAAUUGUUUGAAAAUAUUGUAAAGGUGGUCUGUUGGUUAAGUUUGAAUGAGUCCAGUUAAAGGAUAGUGAGAGGAGUCAAAUAGAUAAGACGGCUUUUGGCUGCCGUCCCAGAAAGUAGGGAGUAACUCUAAGCAUCCCAAUCCAGAACACAGAGACACUCUAGGAGAGAGGUGCAAAAGAUGACAGACACACCAAAUGAAAUUCAGGGAAGUAGAUUCCCAAUGUUAAAAUAAAUCAAAAUAGAGCAAAAUCAGGUUCUAUAUUGUAAUAUUAAAAUGGCAAUUGCUUUCCCAUUCCAAUUGGAGAAUUCUGUGUACACGAAAUUGUAUGAAAAAUUGAGCUCAUCUAAAUUAUGAAACACGACAAAGACAUGUCAAAUUAGAAUCAACUGGCCAGUGUUAAAUGUAAAGAAAAUGAGUGCAACAUUUAUGAAACAUUGGUAAAAUAGUAAUUCCCAAUUUAGGACAUUUAUAAGAGAUAGCCAUUAGAUUGGGGUUUAAAAUUGUUGACCAACACAUAACUUUAAAUUCAGUAAGUUAAUGCUAAAACUCUCCAGUCAAGGUUUUAACUUUGUGUUGUGCAAGAUUCCAUCUUUGUUUCUUACAGAGUAGGAGUCCUGAAUCCUGCAACCCUGAUACACCUUGUCCAAUAAAGGGGUACCUCACACAGAUGGCCCAGAUCAUUCUAAGGCCAAACCAAGCCCAGACCUUUGAGAAACUGCCUUGGGUUCAGAAUAAGAAUAUUGGACACUGAUGGUUCCAGCUGCACCACAGUCAAGGAGAGGGUGGAGGAAUGGAGAGACGCAUGCAGAACAAAGAGGCUCCUACAUCCAUGACUGUAACAGCCAGGAGCCACUUGACUGGACAUGGGAAAAUUAAGGAGGAGAAAAGGGAGGAGAGAUAGAACCCCCAGCAUAUGAAGAUGACCUUGUACUCGGUACAGACCGGGCACCAUUAUAUCCAGUGUUAUGUUUAGAGAAGGGGAUAUUGUCUUUAGACACACAGAACAGCAGGCCCAUAACUCAAUUCACAGGAAAGCAAGAUAAGAGAUAAGUUGAGUAGGAAGGCGGAGUCAGAGAGCGAGACAGAUGCUGAGGGGGAGGUGAAACCGUUCAAGGCAAGGGCAGAGAAAGAGGAGCGAGAAGGGGAGACGACUAGGAGAUAAUAGACAGGAUGAGAUUACAGGGGCCAGAAAGAAAAGAUCAGGCCGUACUAAAGGCAGGUUAGGUGAGGACUCAAGGUCGGGGUCGGACGAUAGUGACACAGUGAGUAGGACAAAAACUAGGCAGAAAAAGGGAAAUUCACAUAAAGGACGGGUGUUACUCACGGGGCAAGCAGUAGGGAGAUGGACUGACUCAGACGAAGACCCUGACGCAGACAUUAGUGGAGACGGGAGUAAGGGAGACGUAGAUGUAUACCCUCUGCCGCGUACGCCCCCACCAGAACAUAAACUACACCAUGACGCAGUAGAAUCAAUUCAAAAGACACAAAAUAAAAUGUUUACGCGGUCACAAGCAGGGGAAGCUGGUUGUGCUGGGUUUCAGCUGCCUCUCUUUAGAGUGGGAGGCGGCGAACCGCGAUAUAAACCACUGGGGCUGGGAGACGUACAGGCAUUGGUAGAUAAAUUACCCCCGAUGGGAGAGGGAGGUGGACUAUGGUUGUCACAAUUUGAUAAACUCACAGCUGGUCAAAUGUUGGCACUGGGGGACUGGAGGGCAGCAGCCGCCCGAGUCGUGUCCGCCCAGGCCAUGACUGAGAUAGAAAAAGGGGCCGCCACUAGGCGGAGCCCUGACGACACUCCUUUCAGUCAGGUGGUCGGGCGCAUAGCCACGGCCCUGAGGGAACGAUUUCCCUUGCCCGCUGGGGCCCCGAUGCCCAAGUUACCUUGGGAAAAAGAGCAACACCCUAGACAGUAUCUAGAAGCAUGUAAGGACACAUGGGCCAAACACACAGGGCACCACCCGGGGAAGGGAGGUCUGCAGCAGGAGUGGUUUAGAAGGGCGGUCUUAGAGGGACUUCCAGAGAAAAUAAAAGAGGCAAUGAUGGCAAAUCCUGACUUGCCGGGUAGUGAAUCACACGUAUGGGAAAGACACAUAGUGCAUCAUUUACAGAGGGCAAAAGAUGAGGAGACAGAGAAGGACAAACAGAUACGGGAACUGAGGGAGAACCUGUUGCGCUUACAGCUGGGUGAAGCCAAAGUGAGAUUCAAUGAAGGGAAAAAGAAACACAGACAGAUGGCAGCCCUAGGCUCAGGAGAACCUGACACACCCGAUUUAUACCCUGUUCCCACAUAGGCACCCCAACCUCACAGUGGCCAGGGGGCAUUCACCGCGCCCUAUCGACCAGGGACUCCAAGGGGAGGUUAUGGUAGGGGGAGGGGGCGGGGUAGAGGCAGAGGGGCUCCAGGAGCCCAAGUCCCAUACGGAGCCUGCUUUACGUGUGGUGACCCGAACCACUGGUCCAGAGAGUGCCCACAGAACACUGCAGGGGGCAGAGGAUACCCAAACCAAGGGGCAGCUCCAGUUCCCAACCCACACGCCGUCCCACCACCUAGUGCACCUGGACAAUACCCACUCUCUUAUGAGGGAGGGUGGGACCAGGCGUGACGGUCUACAGGGAGGGGAGGGGACAGCGGGGGAAGGGCAGACCCUAUGCUGUCCCUGAAUGUCGACGGGAAGGACUUCCCCUUUCUGGUUGACACAGGUGCCACGUUUUCCACCAUCACCGCCCCUCCCGUCACAGGACUACUAUCCUCCAAGACAGUGGAAGUUGUGGGGUUUGAAGGAGUGGGACAGACUUUGCCAGUGACAUUUCCUCUUAAAACGAUACUGGGUAAACAGGCCCUCAGCCAUCCGUAUGUGGUGUCGACAAACACACCAGUGAACUUAUUGGGGAGAGACUUGUUGAUAAAACUGGGGGCUAAUAUCUUGUGUUCUCCAGAUGGACUAACUGUCACGUUACCAGACGGGACAUCGACUUCAAGUGGAGGCCGUGGAUCUCCCUCCUCGAGCCGUACUUUCCUCCGCCAGACCCCCCACAUGUAACCCUAUUUUAUGAUCGGCAGGGCGAUGAGGUGUAUAGAGAGGGGUUUGGGGAUGUAGUGUGUGGGGACACGUGGCAGGUCGGGUCUAAAUUCAUAUAUGUAGGCCCUGAAGGGGUAGCGGCAGAUGUACAGUUAACAGAGGAGCAGGAUCAGUGGUACAUGAUGGCGGAGGAGUCCGUCCCGCAUGUGUCACUGGCCCUGCAUCCUAAACACCAAGCAAAAGACCUGGGGCCCAUGGUUAAAAGGGCGGUCAAAUGUACUGAUUGGACACUCACUCAGGCGCCAAACGUAUGGUACUCACACAGCUGUAAGACGUAAAAAUGGUUCACCUGCAUUGACCUGGCUAACGCUUUUUUCUGUCUCCCACUAGCAGAGGAACUUCGUGAUAUUUUUUCUUUCACACAUAGGGGCGACAAUGGCGGCCCCGACGGUGGCCGCCUGCAUCCAAGCUACAAUGACGGUCCUCACCAGACUGGCAGAGAAAGGGUUCAAGGUAUCAAAAGAAAAGCUACAGCUGGUAAGGACGCAGGUCUCCUUUCUGGGCAGAGUAAUCUUGCAGAAAGGAGCGGGGCUUUCCUCAGCUCACCGCACAACCAUCCUCCACCAUCCUAAACCCACUACUGUUCAGGAAAUGCUAUCAUUCCUGGGGCUCCCCAAACUAUUCAGGGCUCACAGAGCCACUUAGAGCGCUAGUUAAGGAGCAGGGAAUGCGUAAACUUAAAGCCACUCUCAAUUGGACUUGCCCGGCCGACCAGGCCUUCAUUUUGCUGAAACAACAACUAGCCACCGCAGCUGAUCUGGCCAUACCAGACUACACAACACCUUUUUUCUAGAUUUUUCUGAAACAGGAUGAGUCAUGAACGGGGUCCUGUUUCAGAAAAAAAGGGGGAGAAGGCUCUGAGAGAGACGAGCUAGUGAGACAUCAAAAGGGGGCUUCCCUACAAGAGAAAACAAUUUGGCAACAGAGAGGAGCAACAGAGACGAGCGGGCUCUGGAGAGGGCCAGACGGUAGAGUAAUACUUCCACCAGCCAUGCGGGGAGAUAAAUUUGCAGAAGCCCACGGGUUGGGCCAUGUAGGGCCAGCACAGAUGUUGAGGAACCAAUUAUGGUAGACAUGGUACGUAACUACACUAGGACAUGCACCAUCUGCACUCACCACAAUCCAAAACCGACGAUCAAACCUGAGAUGGGGGCGUUCCCCAUGACGACGAGACCUGGACAAGAGAUAGUGAUAGACUACACGGACAUGGUAGACUAAACAGUACGGGGGUGCCGCUACAUGUUAGUGUGUGUGGACAUGUUCACAGGGUGGCCAGAAGCCUGGCCAGCACGAAGGGAGGACAGUCAGACAGUGAUCAAGUGUUUAGUGAACCAGUACAUUCCCAGACACGGCUUCCCAGAGAAAAUUAGGUCAGACAAUGGGACUCACUUUAAGAACAGUGAUUUACAGAAGGUAGAGAGCUUAUUGGGCCUAAAACAUGCUUUUGGCACUGUGUACCAUCCACAGUCCCAGGGAAAGGUAGAAAGUGGUCGGACCCAAGGUGGACGGGUCCUCAUCAGGUGGUGGAGAGAACGAGUCAUGCGGUCCGCAUGAGGGACAAAGGAGAGACCUGGUACCAUUGGAGCCAGUGUACACCAGCGCAGGAGCCAGGGAGGUCGCUAACGGACCUCAUCAAAACCGGGAAGGAGGAGCUUUCCCCAGUGUGGACUGAAGGAGGACCAGCACCAGCCGGACCGGUGCCAGGAGCGGACCCCAGGACACGGCGGGACCACGAGCGAGUGAAGGAGACAGAGGACGGCUUCAGGGGACUAGACUCUUAGGGGAAGGAACUGAAGAAUACAAUAACAAAAGGGGGUAUAGGACACCGAGUGGCUACCACUCGUACCAAGAUGAUAGGGUUACAGAGAAAGGUCUGGGGAGAUGAUAGUAGAAUGAAAUGGUAUAUGGGAAUUGGUGGAAUAAUGAUGUGUGUUGUGUGUUGUUACAGGUUUCCCAGGUUGGCAUUGGGUCUUCAUUCCCCCAGCGAAGAGGUUUGCGACCCCACCUGAGGACACCUGUUUGAGGAAAUUUGGGGGAUUGAAUUGGACUAUGUCAAGGGGUCGCAUACGAGCAUUCUGGGAUAGAUAAUCCGCUGGAGGAAUGGAUGACCUCGAUGUUCGGCCAGUGGAAAGAGGGCUUGCCAUGAGAGUGAUCUCUACAGCCAUUGAGGAGGCUCCAGGACCGCCACCAGGGAUGCUGAUGCCUCUACUGGAGCAGCAUGACCCGGGAGAACUGGAGCUUGGCGAAUAGGGGUGAUCUCUCUGGGGAGAGAUCAAAAGGGGGAAUUGUAGAUGUAUUGAUUGUAUUAGUUAGUGAACUGUUAUAAGCUGUUGUAACCAAUGAAGCAGAAUAUUAAUUGUUUGUAAUAUGAGCUGAAACUGAAGGAGCAAGUAGGAGAAUAGGAAACCCUGUUCAAGCGGUUGCCGGGGAGAGAAAGAUUUAGUAUGUCUGUUUUGUGAGAAACAGGACACAGGUUAGAGACACACACACAUAGUCGGACAGACAACACAGACACCACAAGGGGGGCAAGGGGGGUACUUGCAGUUAUCCUAUAAGGAAUAGAACUGGGAUUGGGCCAAGGACACACUUGCUUUGUAAGUUAACGCCUCUAUCUUUUUGGGCGUAGUAGAAGUAUAAAAUGAUGUUUUGACUGUUGAUCCUUAGACAUUGUGCG